rnacentral:rRNA from 1 species
GACGAACCGUGCGAACGCUGUUCGGAAUCACUGGGCUUAAAGGGCGCGUAGGCGGUCUGCCAAGUCUGGGGUGAAAUCCUCCGGCUCAACCGGAGAACGGCCUCGGAUACUGGCGGUCUCGAGGGAGGUAGGGGCGUGCGGAACUAAGGGUGGAGCGGUGAAAUGCGUUGAUAUCCUUAGGAACUCCGGUGGCGAAGGCGGCACGCUGGACCUCUUCUGACGCUGAGGCGCGAAAGCCAGGGGAGCAAACGGG